GUCUACUGCCAUACCACCUGAUCUUGUCUGAUCUCAGAAGCUAAGCAAGGUCGGGCCUGGUUAGUAGUUGGAAAGAAGACUGCCUGGGAAUACUGGGUGCUGUAGGCU
rnacentral:rRNA from 1 species